UUAUCUGGUUGAUCCUGCCAGUAGUCAUAUGCUUGUCUCAAAGAUUAAGCCAUGCAUGUCUAAGUAUAAGCAAUUUAUACAGUGAAACUGCGAAUGGCUCAUUAAAUCAGUUAUAGUUUAU
rnacentral:rRNA from 1 species